rnacentral:rRNA from 1 species
GACGAACGCUGGCGGCGUGCUUAACACAUGCAAGUCGAACGGAAAGGCCCUGCUUUUGUGGGGUGCUCGAGUGGCGAACGGGUGAGUAACACGUGAGUAACCUGCCCUUGACUUUGGGAUAACUUCAGGAAACUGGGGCUAAUACCGGAUAGGAGCUCCUGCUGCAUGGUGGGGGUUGGAAAGUUUCGGCGGUUGGGGAUGGACUCGCGGCUUAUCAGCUUGUUGGUGGGGUAGUGGCUUACCAAGGCUUUGACGGGUAGCCGGCCUGAGAGGGUGACCGGCCACAUUGGGACUGAGAUACGGCCCAGAAUCCUACGGGAGGCAGCAGUGGGGAAUAUUGCACAAUGGGCGGAAGCCUGAUGCAGCAACGCCGCGUGCGGGAUGACGGCCUUCGGGUUGUAAACCGCUUUCGCCUGUGACGAAGCGUGAAUGACGGUAAUGGGUAAAGAAGCACCGGCUAACUACGUG